GAUAAUCGACAUUUGGACAUAGUAUUUUAUUCUUAUAACUCGGUGUUUUUACUAUCUUUUAUAUCCAAUUAUAUGUUUUUAGUGUGUUUCAUGUGGUUGGAUCAUUGUUAGUCUCCAUUUUAAUUCUUGUAUAUUUUAUAGAUAUUUUGGAUAUUAUUUGAUUAUAUUGUAUUUUGCAGAAAUUGAGGGAGACAACCAUUGAGGAAAAGAACACUUGUUUGAUCUAAUUUGAUUUGGUUCAUUUGCUAAAUAUUUAGAGGGAAAGAAUUGGAGAAGAAGCCCAAGAUUUCAAGCCACAUCAAGAGCCCAAAUCUAAAGCCCAAUUUGAGAAGCCCAAAUUCAAAUCCCUAAUUUCAAUUGUCGGCCUGGUUCAAUGCACCGGUUCAGUUGAAGCUUGAAUGGCACCCGGUUCAAUUACAACUUAAAGGGAGAAAUGAGGUACACUGCAGCUUGGCUCGGGCUUUUCUUUUCUCCUGCUUGCGUUUUCUUCUCCCGACGGCCGCAACCCCAAGUUCCUCAUCUCGCGAUCUUCUUCAAUCUGGCAACGACAACAUCUCUGAAGGCUUUUGUGAGCAGCGACGGCUUAUACUAGGCUCAUCUUCUACGGCGAAGCGUUUCUACGGUAGAGGGGUGAGUCCCCUUUACUCUUCAAGGCGGCGACGACACGAUGAGCUCAGAUUUAGGGAUUUCUUGUCAGUAGAGCAUUGCCCUCCGAGGAGGGGGCAGCCAACCGAUUAAUCUUCAUAUGCAGCGAACUUCUUCUCAAACUUCAUCACUGAGUUGUGGACUUCUGCUGACGGCGUUCCGAAUGCUGGCAUGAUCCCAGCAACCUCAGUCUUCAAUUUCGGCAUAGUAAUUUCUGUUUUGGUUUUUGUGUGGUUUCUAUUGAUGUUAUAAUUGUGUAUUGAUUCUUGUUGUUCAUUGUUCAAAUCAGUUGUGUUGUUGUUCACUGGGGCUGGCGUUCCAAAUCUGGGUCUCCGUGUGAAGGCGGAGGUAGUCGAUUGGUGGUUGAUCGCAAGAAGAGUAGUUUGGAUAGUGUAGUUUACUUUAGUUGUUACUACUUUCGUGUAUUUAGUUGUUACUACUUUCGUGUUUGAUUUAGUGUUAUUUCCUUAUGAUGCAUGUUAGAUUAUUAUUUUUAGUACUUUUUUUAGUUUCACUAUGCAUAAUUGUUGUUGAUUCUUUAUCAUAGUGUGACAAUGUAAUGUAGGUUAUCAAUCAUGCAUAGUUAGAUUUCGUUUAAUCGCUGGUAAGUUCGUUUAGUUUAAUUGCACUUGUCUUUGUUUGAUUGUUGCUUUCUUUAUGCAUAUUUCUUUUGUAGAAGGGAUCCUCACAGCAUAGAGUAACAUUGCGUUGUGAGUUCAUAUUUGCUGGUUAGCUAGGAUUUCCUUACUUGCAUUAGGUGUAGAAAUUCCAAAACAAAACCCUAUUAUUCGAUUUCAUCUGAGAGCAAACAUCUUAUCACUGUUUCCACGCGAGAGACGACCCGAACCUCUACUAUACUACAUUAGUGUAGGUUAAGGGGUUCUGUUAAGUAUACAUGAAUAAAUUUGAUGUGAGUGAGUGACAGUCGUGAUUCACAUCAAAUUUUGGCGUCGUUGCCAAGGAGACUAGUGAUGUUCAUUUGUUUUUAGACUGUAUAUAGUUUAUCUUUAUCUUGUUCUUGCUUUUCUACUUUGUUAUUUUAUUUUUCUUUAGACUUAACUGUUAGUAUCUCCUUUUGCUCUAGAACUUUGCAGGUUGAAGGAAAGGAAUGAGAGGAGUAAUACUACAGUAUGUCGUGAAUAAAGACCUAUUUUGGUCAAUUUCAUCAUUUAGACCACCAUUUCAGUUUUUCUAUAUUUUGCAUUUCAUUUUUUUUCGAUUUUAUUCUCUCUUAUUUCUAUUUCUUUGGUGAUUGUAAAAAUUCAAAAAAAAAUAUUGUUAAGGCUUCAUUAUUCAUUGCUUGUAUGUAUGCGUGCUAUCUUGUAUAUUUUCCUGUGUCUUUUGAUGAUAUUUGCAUGAGUGUUUCAGGUAAGAUCAGGAAAUUUCUUCUAUAUUAUUAGCAGUUUCAGAGUUUCAGUGUAUUCAGGAUCUCAGACUUGAUAAGCAUUAUGGAGAACACUGAAAAGACUCUUAGAGAGCUUUGGCACCAGAUUUGUCAGUUGAUUCAUUUUGCAUCAGAUAUUCUGAUUUAGAGGCAGACUUCAAGUUAUGGAAAAUUGUUCAUCUAUUACCGAAGUUUCAUGGACUUUCUUGUGAAGAUCCCAACAGACAUCUGCAUGAUUUGGAGAUGGUUUGUUCUUCAUGGAACUCAUAUGGUGUAUCAGAAGAAGAUGUCAGACUUAGAGUAUUUCCUUUUUCGGUAGCAGAUUCAGCAAAAGAUUGGUUGUAUUGUCUCCCACCCAAUUCAAUUUCUAGUUGGAUCGAGAUGAAUAAAUUAUUUUUGGCGAGGUUCUUUCCUGCUUCUAGGAUCGCAGCUAUUCGAAGGAGUAUUUGUGGAAUCCAACAAUUCAUAGGAGAACCAUUUCAAGAAUAUUGGGAUAGAUUUAAAAGACUUGUUGCUAGUUACCCUCAACACCAGAUAAGCGAUCAACUUCUGAUUAUAUACUUCUAUGAGGGAUUGUGUCCCAUGGACAGGAGUAUGGUUGAUGCAGUUAGUGGAGGGGCUCUAGUUAGCAAGACAUCUACUCAGGCCAGAGGACUUAUUGAGAUUAUGAUUGCAAAUUAUCAGUAGUAUGAGACUAGACCGAUGAUUACCGAAGAUAUUCAUUCCUUUGCUAGUGUAUUCCCGACUAGGAUCCAAUAUCACCAGCCUGAUCCUUAGUAUUAUCAUAUUCAUCAGAAGGACAGCUAUAAUUCAUUUGCAGGAUUCGGGUAUGGGAACACACAACAGGGGACUUCUAAGUGGCCCAGUCUUACUAGUCUUACUUUCAACAGCAUCAACUUGAGCAGGAUUUUAGGGAGCAGUUACAAAAAUUAUGUCAACAACAAGAAACACAAUUUCAGCCAAGAACAUAUUUAUCGACACGGUUACAGUUGCUAUCAGAUCAACCUACUGCAUCAAUUCCUAAGGAGAUGGAUUGUAGAGUUUGUGAUAUUCCUAACUUUAAUUCUGCUACUCUACAUGACUCUUUUAAUUUUUUAUAUUGUGAUGUUGUAGUUGAUCCUCAUAAUAUUUUUGUUAAUGAUAUUGUUGUUCCAAAUAUUUUUGAUGUUGCAGGUGAUGUUGAUGACGAUGGAAGUAUAGGGGAGACCCAAGAAUCGCUUCCUUUGACUAUUCUACCACCAUUUGAGCCAGUAGAGCCUGCUAUUUUACUUAGUGAUGAUGGAAGUGUAGGGGGAACUCAAGAAUCACUUUCGUUGAUUGUUCCUGAUCCAGAGCCAAAUCUUUUACCUGAUCACGAUGAUACCACAUUCACUGUUUUAGAGCCUCUAGGUACCUUUGAAUAUGAAAUUGAGGGAGACAAUAAUUGAGGAAAAGAACAUUGGUUUGAUCCAAUUUGAUUUGGUUCAUUUGCUAAAUAUUUAGAGGGAAAGAAUUGGAGAAGAAGCCCAAGAUUUCAAGCCACAUCAAGAGCCCAAAUCUAAAGCCCAAUUUGAGAAGCCCAAAUUCAAAUCCCUAAUUUCAAUUGUCGGUCUGGUUCAAUGCACCGGUUCAGUUGAAGCUUGAAUGGCACCCGGUUCAAUUACAACUUAAAGGGAGAAAUGAGGUACACUGCAGCUUGGCUCGGGCUUUUCUUUUCUCCUGCUUGCGUUUUCUUCUCCCGACGGCCGCAACCCCCAAGUUCCUCAUCUCGCGAUCUUCUUCAAUCUGGCAACGACAACAUCUCUGAAGGCUUCUGUGAGCAGCGACGGCUUAUACUAGGCUCAUCUUCUCCGGCGAAGCGUUUCUACGCUAGAGGGGUGAGUCCCCUUUACUCUUCAAGGCGGCAACGACACGAUGAGCUCAGAUUUAGGGAUUUCUUGUCAGUAGAGAAUUGCCCUCCGGUAAGGUCCCGAGUUGUGGACUUCUGCUGACGGCGUUCCGAAUGUUGGCAUGAUCCCAGCAACCUCAGUCUUCAAUUUCGGCAUAGUAAUUUCUGUUUUGGUUUUUGUGUGGUUUCUAUUGAUGUUAUAAUUGUGUAUUGAUUCUUGUUGUUCAUUGUUCAAAUCAGUUGUGUUGUUGUUCACUGGGGCUGGCGCUCCAAAUCUGGGUCUCCGUGUGAAGGCGGAGGUAGUCGAUUGGUGGUUGAUCGCAAGAAGAGUAGUUUGGAUAGUGUAGUUUACUUUAGUUGUUACUACUUUCGUGUAUUUAGUUGUUACUACUUUCGUGUUUGAUUUAGUGUUAUUUCCUUAUGAUGCAUGUUAGAUUA